rnacentral:ribozyme from 13 species
AAAAGAGUGAUAAAGAAGAGAAAAAUAGAGAACCAAAACUCAUCAUUUUGAAUUCCAUUCCAUUCCACCUUUUCUUUUUCUUUUACUUUCUCUUCUCCUUAUUGGUCUUCGUCCUGUUUAUC